GAGACAUUUUCUGACUACUGUAACUGGCACCUAGGUCAUUGUCUAGCAAAUAAUAAGUAUGCAGCAAACAUUUGUUGCAUGAGUAAGUGAAAGUGAGGCAAAAUGCUACUAUUUAUAGGAAUUCUGAGGAGGCUGGGAGUUCUAGGAAUGGGGUACAUCUACAAACAAACCCAGAUCUGGCUGCUUGACACUCAGAAGACCCAGUAAUUCAGCAUUCUGUUGUUGUGGCAAGUAAAAAUAUUUAUUUGGGAAACCAACAAGCCAAAGAAGAUGAGAGUAAAGACCAUCCUCUUGUGCUCUGCACAAGAUAAAGAACUUAAAGGGGAGAAAAGAAAAGCAGGUGCAGAGACCCCUGGCUCUAUACAGUAAGCCUGAAAUGGUACAUUGAGAUUGACAUUGGUCUUAGGUGCAAUCCCCUAGUUCAGUCUCCUGGAUUUAAUUCUAAACUGACAACAUCAUCCAUCUCCCAUGGAGCCCCUGUGAGAAUCAGCAGUGCCCAAUGGUGUCAUGUAGUUGGCUGUCCAGAGUGCUUCCUCUGGAUUGGAGGCAGUCCUGGUGCAGGACAGGGAAGACAGGUGAAGGGUGGCAGUAAGCAAAAUGGCCAACAGACAGCUCCUCCAAUGAGGCUGCUCACCCCAGAAUGGGGGGUCUUUCUGUAUGAGCACUGUCAACAUUUACUUUCACUUUAUACAUUGGAUUUGCAUCUGAAAAGGCCAAGUAUAAUCAACAUUUAAAGGAUAACACUCAAAUUUGCAUCUGAUUGAGCAGACAUGUUAAGUAAUUUUAGCCUGGCUGUUGCUAAGAAACCAAUUAAUAAUGCUCCAUGUUUCAUUGAAAAUUGGAUUCUGUCUGCUUUUCAUUUAACUUCACAAUUCAGCUACUUGUGCUAUACUUUUCUCCCUUGGUUAAAUUGUGACAGACAAAUUAUCGUUUUACUACAUUUAUUUCUGUGAUUACAAUUGUUAGUCAUAUCUGUCAAUACAAUUUCAAAGCUUUUCUUUUUUAAUGCUGUAGGAUGGAAAACUGAAUUUUAACUGUUGAUCAUUCUUUUCCUUUAUAGUUUGUGGGUACUAGGUUAUAUUUUUGUGAAGGCCUUAUAAAUUGUGGGUAACAAAAAAAAAAUUUAAAGCAAUCUUCCCUGCUCCAUAAUUGCCCUUUCUCUGUAUAAAGACUAAUAAUUAGAAUAUUAGGCAUGAUUCAGAAAGUGACAGACAGCUGAUUAAGCAUUCAGCUGCAUCUUAUGUUGCUCUUUCUUUCCGUGGUUUGUAGACUAUACCAGGUUCUGUCUUUUAUGCAAUGCAUUUUGAUUUUUGUGACUUUAUUUUAGAUGAUAGCCUCUGUUCUUCUGAAUAAAAAAUGUUCUUUUAGCUACUAUUGUUCCUUUUUGAACCAGUCAACUGGGUAGUUACAUUUAGUAGUAGCAGCACUUCACAGUAUGAUGUUUUGUAGUAUUGAUCUGGCUAAAAUGCUCAUUAAGAGGCAAAAUUGGUUGCUAUUCGCACGCGUUUUUACAAUGCUUGAAGCUUGGUUUGGAUGAUGCACACAGACGGCUGAUUCUUAAGCCUAGUUAGUGGUAGCACAGAAAGCCAAGCUCCAGGAGGCAAAGCAGAGUCUGCUUUUGUAUUUUAUGGUUCACAUCUUUAGAGUUUGGGUUCUGAAGAUAAAAUACAAAGGACAUAAAAUUUAAAAGUAUCUGUGAAGUGAAAUUUCAGUCUAGCCCCUUCUGUAUCACCAUGCCUUGUAGGACUGUAAGCACUGGGGAGAGGGCGUGUCCCAUUCCGAUCCCUCAAGAGCACAGGGACAGUGUUUGAAUGAGCUAUAGCUGCCCCAGCAUCUAAGACUCCCUUCUGAGGCUGCUCUCUCCUAGCCUGUGGGCAUGCUGCUCCUUGCUGUGUCCUCCCACUUGUGCUCUCUGCAUGCACAGCCCAGUAGUCUCCCGGAGACACAAUCUCUUGAAAUUCAGAUUGAAUGUGGGCUUACCCCCAGGGCCUUGCUGUAAUCUUAACUACCUCUGAAAGGCUCUGUCUGUCAGGGUUGCAUUCUGGGGCACAGGAAUUAGAACAUCAACAAUUUUAGGAAGAAACUACCAGCCAAUAGCAGGCAUAGCACAUGUUGCCAACUCUCAUUCACUCUGUUCAUUUGUUUCUUAGUGACCAGUGGUGGAGAUGGCCAGAAAGGAAGCAGGAAGUAUGACUGACUUCUCUGUUCAGGUCAGAUCUGACCAUAAAGAGUAGUAUUACUCUUCUUUCUAUUUUUAUUAUUUUGUCCUUUGGGACAUUUACUGGAGCCAUUUUUUUUCUGACCUUACUUGAUUAGCCAUAUGCAGAUGAACCUGUCUUCAUACCUCUGCAGGGGCUACUGAUUCAAAGCAUGAUUCGAUAAACAAUGACUGUCUUCAGUGUGUGAUGGCGCUGGCCAGCUGAGGCCUGGGAGGAGCCUGCUGUGAGGAUCUGAAGACAGACCCCUUCCAUGACCCUACAAUGCUGGCUGAGCAAUAUGGAUGACAUACGUGAUGACUGCAUUGUUGACGCUGAGCAUGAACAUCCGUUGGUGGAGCUUCUGGUGCUCCGAGAAAUCUUUUCUCCAACCCUGCCCUCUGAGGAUUGAUUCCACGCAUCCCAGGACUUCCUCGAGGUGGAGCUGAGCUCAUGUUGGUGGCUGCCCUCCACUUGCUGCUCAUCUGCAUGUGCUUUCCUCUGAGUGCACUCAUCAUGAGGGGCAUUCAUGCCACAUCAGCCAACCUUAGCUCCACUGGGUCACAGCCCAGCCUGCUGUUUUCCCUACUACCCUGAAGUCAGAGGAUAAAAAAAAACAAAACAAAACAAAAACCCCUCCCUCAGCUGUCUACUUCCUCCACAUUUCCUCCCCUCUGCUCCCUCCCUAUCUCCUUUCCUCCCUCUCUCCUUUCUUCCCUCCCUCCCUUUUGUUCUUGCUUUUUGACAUAGUCAUACUUUGAUUGUAUUCAUCCUCCAUUUUCUGUUGCUCCCUUCUACCCUCAAAGCAGUUCCAUGGAAUUUUCUUGCCUUUCCCACCAAAUCCAUGCAUAAUAAAAUACUGAAAUACA